GCCCCUCAUCUUCCAAUGGUUCCAAUGGUUCUGAGUCGUAUGCCAUUAACCGCGUACAACGUCAGCCUUAUUUUCACUCUGCUGGACGUGAACCGUAUGGGAAACGCCCAAGGCCAGCAAGCGUGGUUGACAAAUCGCAACCAAAAUAUUUUCGAGGCAACCAGCAUGCACCAGCGAACAGGAGGGAACUGCAAGAACGGGGACGUCGUACUCGUUGCCGUCGAUGCAAUGGCUUCCCUCAUUCAAACUUUCCUUGUCCAGCACUAAAUAGAAACUGCAACUUGUGCGGAGAACGCGGGCAUUAUGGAGCCGUUUGCCGCCGGUCACGUAUUCGAGAGCUUCAGUUCAAAUCCGACGAUUCAACACCAGACAACCACGAAGACCAUGAUCAGUGCGUGAACAGGCUUUCACUCGAAGACGUUUUGGUUUCAUGUCGAGUAGGCUCAUCAAGUCCAAUCAAAAUGCUUAUUGACUCUGGCGCAGACGUAAAUGUGAUCGGGGGGAGAGAUUGGGUACUCCUCAGACAGGAACAUUCGGUGGGGAUCGCCAACCUGGAUUUUAUCAAACUCGCUAACAUGAAAAACAUAAAUGCUUAUGGGUCUCAGUCCCCCAUGGUCAUAGAAUGUUCCUUCCAAGCAGAAAUAGUUGCACAAGAGCACCAAGGACCGUCCGUAAAAGCGGUUUUCCAUGUAAUUUGCAGCGGAACCAGAUCACUCCUAGGACGCUCGACAGCUAGUGACAUGGGGCUACUGCAUAUUGCUACGAUUAACAAUCUCAAGAAUGCUGAAAAGCCAUGUAAAUUUCCAAAGAUGCCUGGAGUAAAGAUCAAAUUCAGUGUAGAUAAAACGAUUCCACCUGUCAAAAACGCGUAUUACAACGUUCCAGCGGCCUUCCGUGCGGCAGCUAAACUCCGACUGGAGGAGAUGGAAUCGCAAGAUAUCAUCGAGAAGGUUACAGGUGCACCGAACUGGAUUAGCGGGAUGUCUGCAGUGGCCAAAGGAAAGGAUGACUUUAGGUUGGUUGUGAAUAUGCGGGCACCAAACAAGGCAAUAAACCGAGAAUACUUCGGCUUCCUUUGAUCGAGGAAAUGAAGGUGAAGCUCCAUGGUUCAAAAUACUUUACCAAACUGGACCUUAGCAACGCAUUCUACCACCUAGAACUGCAUAAUGAAUCUCGCGAUCUAACUACAUUUCUAACAGAAAAUGGAAUGUACCGGUUCACUAGGUUGAUGUUCGGGGUGAAUUGUGCCCCCGAAAUCUUCCAACGAGAAAUGACUCGGAUACUCAAGGACAUUGAAAACAAGAUCGUAUAUAUCGACGACAUCCUCAUAUUUGCGGACUGUCUUGAGAGUUUACGGAAAACAGUUAGCAAAACAUUGGAAAUAUUGAGAGCGAACAACUUAACGUUGAACACCACAAAGUGUGAGUUUGACAGAACUUGUAUUGAUUUCUUGGGCCAUAGACUUGACGAAGAAGGUUUUCACGUAGAGGACGCAAAAAUAAAAAGCAUACGUGAUUUUCGUGAACCUGCCACAAUAUCUGAGCUACGCAGUUUCCUAGGCUUGGCCUCAUUUAUCGGUCCCCAUGUGAGGA